rnacentral:rRNA from 1 species
GAUCCUGGCUCAGAUUGAACGCUGGCGGCAUGCUUUACACAUGCAAGUCGAACGGCAGCGCGGGCUUCGGCCUGGCGGCGAGUGGCGAACGGGUGAGUAAUGCAUCGGAACGUGCCCAGUAGUGGGGGAUAGCCCGGCGAAAGCCGGAUUAAUACCGCAUACGACCUGAGGGUGAAAGCGGGGACCGAAGGCCUCGCGCUAUUGGAGCGGCCGAUGUCGGAUUAGCUAGUUGGUGGGUAAAG